rnacentral:ncRNA from 1 species
CUCUGUUUCGCAGGCCGCCUUGCGGUAUGAUUCAGGGCAAAGGAG